CCAGACUCCUACGGGAGGCAGCAGUGGGGAAUAUUGGGCAAUGGGCGCAAGCCUGACCCAGCAACGCCGCGUGAAGGAAGAAGGCUUUCGGGUUGUAAACUUCUUUUAAGAGGGACGAAACAAAUGACGGUACCUCUUGAAUAAGCCACGGCUAACUACGUGCCAGCAGCCGCGGUAAUACGUAGGUGGCAAGCGUUAUCCGGAUUUAUUGGGUGUAAAGGGCGUGUAGGCGGCACGGCAAGCCGGCGGUCAAAUCGCGGGGCUCAACCCCGCCCAGCCGUCGGAACUGCCGGGCUAGAGUGGGCGAGAAGUGCGCGGAAUGCGUGGUGUAGCGGUGAAAUGCAUAGAUAUCACGCAGAACUCCGAUUGCGAAGGCAGCGCACCGGCGCCCUACUGACGCUCAGGCACGAAAGCGUGUGUAUCGAACAGGAUUAGAUACCCCAGUA
rnacentral:rRNA from 1 species